AGAAGUUUGAGUGAUAGAGGAAGUGUAUACAAUGAUGUCGACAUUUUGCUUAGGGGAAGAAGAAGGAAAUUCGCCAUUGUUAGUUCGUAGGGUAGACAUUGACAGUUUUUGAACAUUUGUGGAGCAGAGGUGCACCAUGGCUUGCCACAAUGUCACAAUGGGUCCUUGGAGAGCCGCUGGUGUUGACUUGCUGCCUGUCUCCUCUCUGCGGCAAAACUCCACAAAUACUCUACUCACCAAGUUCCAAAGGGAGAGGAUCACCAGCCACCACCGGCCGUACUAUGUAGGGAUGGAACAUGGCAACUACACUAGCUGGGAUACACCUAGCCAACUAUUGUGUUAAGAAUGUGGAGAAGAUAGAACAA
rnacentral:lncRNA from 1 species